AAGUAAAAGUCGUAACAAGGUUUCCGUAGGUGAACCUGCGGAAGGAUCAUUAUUGAAUAAGCUUGGUUGGGUUGUUUGCUGGCUCUCCGGAGCAUGUGCACGCCUGACAACCAACCUUUUACCACCUGUGCACCUUUUGUAGACCUGGAUAUCUCUCGAGGAAACUCGGUUUUGAGGAUUGCCGUGCGCAAGCCGGCUUUCCUUGCACUUCCGGUCUAUGUUUUUAUAUAACCCCUACACAUGUUUUAGAAUGUCAUUAAUGGGCUUAACUGCCUUUAAAUCUAUACAACUUUCAACAACGGAUCUCUUGGCUCUCGCAUCGAUGAAGAACGCAGCGAAAUGCGAUAAGUAAUGUGAAUUGCAGAAUUCAGUGAAUCAUCGAAUCUUUGAACGCACCUUGCGCUCCUUGGUAUUCCGAGGAGCAUGCCUGUUUGAGUGUCAUGAAAUUCUCAACCUUGUCAUCAUUUAUGUUGAUCAGGCUUGGAUGUGGGAGUUUGCGGGCUUCUCAGAAGUCGGCUCUCCUUAAAUACAUUAGCGGGACCUUUGUUGCCCAGCUUUAGUGUGAUAAUUAUCUACGCUAUCGUUGAAAGCAGCUUUUAAUGGGGUACAGCUUCUAAUCGUCUCAUUUGAGACAACUUCUGACAAUUUGACCUCAAAUCAGGUAGGACUACCCGCUGAACUUAAGCAUAUCA
rnacentral:rRNA from 1 species